rnacentral:rRNA from 1 species
CCUACGGGCGGCAGCAGUGGGGAAUAUUGGACAAUGGGGGGAACCCUGAUCCAGCCAUGCCGCGUGUGUGAAGAAGGCCCUCGGGUUGUAAAGCACUUUCAGUGAGGAAGAACGCCUGGUGGUUAAUACCCAUCAGGAAAGACAUCACUCACAGAAGAAGCACCGGCUAACUCCGUGCCAGCAGCCGCGGUAAUACGGAGGGUGCGAGCGUUAAUCGGAAUUACUGGGCGUAAAGCGCGCGUAGGUGGCUUGAUAAGCCGGUUGUGAAAGCCCCGGGCUCAACCUGGGAACGGCAUCCGGAACUGUCAAGCUAGAGUGCAGGAGAGGAAGGUAGAAUUCCCGGUGUAGCGGUGAAAUGCGUAGAGAUCGGGAUGAAUACCAGUGGCGAAGGCGGCCUUCUGGACUGACACUGACACUGAGGUGCGAAAGCGUGGGUAGCAAACAGGAUUAGAUACCCUUGUAGUC